rnacentral:sRNA from 12 species
GGCCCGCUUGCAGAACUGUCGCCAUAGGGCGUGCGUUCCGGUCGCACCGGAUAGGCAGCAGGCAUCUA